UCCCGGAUGGCAGAGGUCCUUUAUAG
rnacentral:piRNA from 1 species